CCUGGCUCAGAUUGAACGCUGGCGGCAUGCCUUACACAUGCAAGUCGAACGGCAGCACGGGAGCAAUCCUGGUGGCGAGUGGCGAACGGGUGAGUAAUACAUCGGAACGUGCCCAAUCGUGGGGGAUAACGCAGCGAAAGCUGUGCUAAUACCGCAUACGAUCUACGGAUGAAAGCAGGGGACCGCAAGGCCUUGCGCGAAUGGAGCGGCCGAUGGCAGAUUAGGUAGUUGGUGGGGUAAAGGCUCACCAAGCCAACGAUCUGUAGCUGGUCUGAGAGGACGACCAGCCACACUGGGACUGAGACACGGCCCAGACUCCUACGGGAGGCAGCAGUGGGGAAUUUUGGACAAUGGGCGAAAGCCUGAUCCAGCAAUGCCGCGUGCAGGAUGAAGGCCUUCGGGUUGUAAACUGCUUUUGUACGGAACGAAACGGUCUUUUCUAAUAAAGAAGGCUAAUGACGGUACCGUAAGAAUAAGCACCGGCUAACUACGUGCCAGCAGCCGCGGUAAU
rnacentral:rRNA from 1 species